CUUUCAUGGAAUUAUUUUUCAAUAGUGUUAUUUUUAACACUUGCAGACAUUCUAAAACGUAGAGCGAAGAAGGUGCUUAGUCAUCAUGCAAGUGUUGAAUAUGGAAGCUGGUUCCAGAGUUUAGCUGUUAUCAAUCGUGCUGCAUGCAGUUAGUAUCUGUGUACUUGCAGCUUCACGUAAUUGCAUGAAUAUUUCUACUGGCAAGUUCCCUGGGAAGUUCUUGCUGAUAAGAUGUGUACAGCAUGAAUUAUGACACUGGCUGCUUAUGGCUCUCUAUGGAUGCUCUAGCAAGAGCAUGCACUAACUUACAGGGAAUGUGUAAAGUAGCUUACUGCUCCCCACCCUUGCUCUCUCUUGCCCAACAGGACACUGGAUUGGUUCAAAAGAGUGCCUCUUCAUUGUGGUAGUUGCAGUACACUCCCUCCUUUGGAGUCAAGAGUAAGCCCAUGGACUGAAGAGGCUGCAAGACUACAAUCAAAAGUAUAUUAUCUGUACUUCCCCUCCUCCCGUGUACAGAUGAUGUAUCCUUACUCUUUCCUGUGUCUUAACAAGGGCUUUGUGGUGUGUGUGUGCAUGAGCAUACAUGUAUAUUAGCAUUUGACGACUACAAUGUUCUGUAAUAGUAAAUCCUACUGGUGAUUGGAUUAGAACUACUUU
rnacentral:lncRNA from 1 species